GUUUAUUUACCAUACCUCAGGCUAUCAAGUACAUAUACAAAUAUUCCUAAGUUCAUGACUAAACUCUAUCAAUUAAUUUAGAUGUUCCUCAUCAAUUUGAACUAAGCAGUACCCUCAAGAGCUUCUUGGAACAAUACCACCAAUCAAAGUAAACACAUGGUGGAACUUGUGGCUAUAGCUAUAUUUGUAGCAGAGGAUGGCCUAGUUGUUCAUCAAUGGGAGAAGAGUUUCUUGGUCCUGUGAAGGCUCUAUGCCCCAGUACAGGGGAAUGCCAGGACCAGGAAUGGGAGUGUAUGAGUUGGGGCGCAGAGGGAUGGGGGAGUAGAUAGGGGAUUUUCAGAGGGGAAACUAGGAAAGGGAUUAACAUUUGAAAUGUAAAUAAUGAAAAUAUCUAAUAAAAAGUUAAAUAUAUGUAUACACUUACAUAUAUGAAAUGUGUACAAAUAAAUCUAGAUGUUCCUUUUGUUCUCAUCUUUGUUACUAAUACUUUAGAUUUGAGUCCUGACAUUAUGUUAGAAUGUGAUCACUACAAUUUGAAACCUUCUUCGAGCCUUGCUCUGCACACUUGUGGAGACAUCUUUCAAAUUCUAGAUUUACCUGUAUUGCUGGAUUCCUCACAGGACAAAACUGAGUAAAUGGAUUUCCUAUAACAUUGGUGAAAUGCAUAAGUGCAAUGAGGACAUCAGUAGGUGCAGAAGGUUCCCUAAGAGAAGAGACUCUAUGGCUAUUCAAAAGUUACCUAAUAAAAACAAAAGGCAAUGCGAACUAAAACA
rnacentral:lncRNA from 1 species